GAGCACAGCCCAAGGACUUGAUAAGCUGCUUACACACUGUGCAGUAGAAUGUUCCAGUCAGCACACAGCAUGAACAUGAGGAACCCUGCUCAACUCCUGGGGCUUCUGAUGCUCUGGCUCCCAGGUGCCAAAUGUGAUGUUCAGUUGACCCAGUUGCCAUCCAUGUCUGCAUCUCUUGGAGAGAGAGUCUCCAUGACUUGCAGGGCCAGUCAGGGCAUUGGGAAUUAUUUACAUUGGUACCAGCAGAAACCAGGAAAUGCCCCCAAGCUCCUGAUUUAUUUUGCAACUAGUUUGAAAUCUGGGACUCCUUCCCAAUUCAGUAGCAGUGGAUGAAAUGUCUCCUUUUUGUUGCUCUAUUCAUAUAUUACCAUACAUUACAUUAUAUUAUAUAAUACUACAAUAUGGGUACUAUUAGGGCUGUGUUCCUCAGAUAUUUCAAUAAAUAAACUAAAAUGUA